CACUGCAUGAAAGCAGACAGUCUCCUGUCUCUACCCUGUGACAUACGCUUCUCUUUGACUAAGACUAGAAACCACCUACACUGCAGUCACAGUGUAAAGUCUUAAUAUCCUGUCAUCUAUCUAUCUAUAGUGGAGUUGGAUGUCUCGAGACCGGUAUUGGUCUCGAGACCGGUCUUACGUGGUCUAGGUCUUGUCUUGGUCUCGACGGACUUUGGUCUUGGUCUUGGAUCCCUCGGUCUUGUCUUGGUCUCACUGUCUCGGUCUUGCUUUCUCAGAUCGACAUAGUGGUCGGGAGAUUUGGAGUCAACCAUCGGCGGACAGAGGAGAGCUUAAGUUUGACCAGUUGUUACCCUCCACGGCUAAACAAAGCACUCUCAAUCGGUUUCAGCUAUGAACUGAUGAAUACAACAAUGGACACGAGGGGCUUCUUUCAAAGAAAAAACUCAGGUGUGGACAGGCCUGUGUAACCUGGCUGGUGAGUGGCUGUGGGUGGGUGGAGAACAAGUGCAAUAUGAGGAUAUCCCAAAAUGCCCAACCGAGGGCCUCUGUGGCGUCCUCAAGAAGAAUGGUACUGCAGCCUACGGCAUAAGAAACUGCCGGCAGAAAAGGAACUUUCUCUGUUCAACAUUUAAUUAAGUACCGUACUUAAGUAAAAAUUUGAUAUAUCUGUACUUGACUUUUCUUCUUAUGACACUUAGAUACAUGUGUGUGAAAGUAAACAGGAAAAAUAAUCCAAAGCAGACUCCACAGACAAGAAGGAUUAAACACAAACAAACCUUUAUUCAGGUUUAUCAGUUAGUCCAAAAUUAGAAAUUCCAAGAAGAAUGGGAACAUGACAAACACUGCCAGUCAAAAGCUGUUGAGUUUGUUUGAGUAAUCUUACUUUCAUUCAUGAUGUAUGUUACAAAGAUAACAGUUAAUAUAGUCAGUACAUUGAAAAGGUGAGAAAUAGUGAUGGAAAUAGUUUCAUACUGUUAGAUUAUAUGCUUUAAUAAAUGAACGUAAACAGAAAAAUCUCACAUAA